rnacentral:lncRNA from 1 species
CCCUCGGCUGCGCAUGACGGCGGCGGCGGCAGCUCUGGCAGAAGGGAUCCCUGACUUCUGGUUAUCGCACGCAUUCCUUCUCUCUCACCUCUCUCUCACAUCUCUCGUAGUAUUACUCUCACAUCUCGCGCGCCUUCUGUUCCCCUGUUUCUAGAUGGGAGGGUCCGACAUACCUAGGAUGGUGGAUGGAGGGGCGAAGGUGGAGGAGGAGGACGAACCGUGGGCCAAAAUUACCUCCGUUGUGUACUUCAGAAAGCAUCAGGUAAAUCAUCUUCCCUUUUCUCAGAAAAAAUUGUAGGAUGUUAGGUUCAAUUGGAGUUGAACUCAGGAAGAUGAGCUGGACAAGGGUAAGAUGUGCAGGCACUUUGAGUCAGCAGCUAUGCGGGUAUGCAAAGGAGUGGACACUGGAAGGAGAUUUUUGUCAUGCCAAUAUGAGGUAAAUUGCUUGCUACCAUUAGGCCUCUUUACUUUACAAUCGGCGUUUUGUCAUCGGUUGGUAAUGUUAGUAUGUAUGUAAUAGUCUGCAAUUUUGCCUGAACAGGAGACGUGUGGUUAUGUCAAAUGGAUUGACAAGCCAAGCCAUGGGAGGGGAGGUAAAGAACUGUCAUUGGUGAAGUUGCUAACAACAAAGAGGUGCUAGAGAAGAAGCUAAUGCAGAAAGAUGGUCAGAUAGAAACUGAGGAGAAGCACGGACUUGAGAAGAAGAAGAUUGAAAGGAUGCACAAAGAUCAGUUACAAUCUAGAGAUAGGACGAUUAUGUUUGUUGUGUUCAUGUACUUUGGGUUAGUCGUAAUCAUGUUUGAUGUGGUUGACAAGAAGUAAUGUUGUCAUUGUCCAGUCUAGAAGGUCAUGUAUGUUGCUGAAAAUUUGUAUUUUGCUGAAUAAUCUUUGGUGAAUUACAAAGAAUGUACCUUUUGGUAAAGAUUUUUUUUGUCAAUAUUUUACUGCUUUAGAAUUGAAACAGACUAUGCAUGUUUAGACAGCAACAAUUGAU